AAAAAAGCAGGGACUGGUCCUUCUAUUGUGACUAUGUCCUUCGUCAGCUUCAGGGAUAGCAUCACCAUUGUUGUUGGGUGAACCUCUGUGUCUUGUUCGUGACUGAAGGUUCAGUAAAUGAUGGAAUAUUU